rnacentral:rRNA from 1 species
GCGGUGGAGCAUGUGGUUUAAUUCGAAGCAACGCGAAGAACCUUACCAGGUCUUGACAUCCGAUGCUAUUUCUAGAGAUAGAAGUUACUUCGGUACAUCGGUGACAGGUGGUGCAUGGUUGUCGUCAGCUCGUGUCGUGAGAUGUUGGGUUAAGUCCCGCAACGAGCGCAACCCCUAUUGUUAGUUGCCAUCAUUCAGUUGGGCACUCUAGCGAGACUGCCGGUAAUAAACCGGAGGAAGGUGGGGAUGACGUCAAAUCAUCAUGCCCCUUAUGACCUGGGCUACACACGUGCUACAAUGGUUGGUACAACGAGUUGCGAGUCGGUGACGGCGAGCUAAUCUCUUAAAGCCAAUCUCAGUUCGGAUUGUAGGCUGCAACUCGCCUACAUGAAGUCGGAAUCGCUAGUAAUCGCGGGUCAGCACGCCGCGGUGAAUACGUUCCCGGGCCUU